CCUAUGAAGCUUUACUGUAACUUGAAAUUGAAAUUGGACUUUAUUUGCGCAGUAUAGGUGGGAGGCGUUGAGUUUAUUCUUGCGGGAAUUUAGGAGCCAUCAGUGAGAUACCACUCUGGUAAUGUUAGAUUUCUAACUUUGUAUCAUAAUCUGGUCAAAGAACAGUUUCAGGCGGGCAGUUUGACUGGGGCGGUCGCCUCCCAAAUGGUAACGGAGGCGUACAAAGGUUUCCUCUGAACGUGUAGAAAUCGUAUCUAGAGUGUAAAGGCAUAAGGAAGCUUGACUGUGAGACCUACAAGUCGAGCAGGGACGAAAGUCGGUCUUAGUGAUCUGACGGUGCUGAGUGGAAAGG
rnacentral:rRNA from 1 species